GCCCUGGUAGCUCAAUUGGUUAGAGCGUCGGACUUUUACUCCUGAUCUUGGGAGAAGCUAUCCGAAGGCUGCGGGUUCGACCCCCGCCUGGGGCG
rnacentral:tRNA from 1 species